rnacentral:rRNA from 1 species
AUUGAACGCUGGCGGCAGGCCUAACACAUGCAAGUCGAGCGGCAGCGGGAAAGUAGCUUGCUACUUUUGCCGGCGAGCGGCGGACGGGUGAGUAAUGCCUGGGGAUCUGCCCAGUCGAGGGGGAUAACUACUGGAAACGGUAGCUAAUACCGCAUACGCCCUACGGGGGAAAGCAGGGGACCUUCGGGCCUUGCGCGAUUGGAUGAACCCAGGUGGGACUAGCUAGUUGGUGAGGUAACGGCUCACCAAGGCGACGAUCCCUAGCUGGUCUGAGAGGAUGAUCAGCCACACUGGAACUGAGACACGGUCCAGACUCCUACGGGAGGCAGCAGUGGGGAAUAUUGCACAAUGGGGGAAACCCUGAUGCAGCCAUGCCGCGUGUGUGAAGAAGGCCUUCGGGUUGUAAAGCACUUUCAGCGAGGAGGAAAGGUUGGUAGCUAAUAACUGCCAGCUGUGACGUUACUCGCAGAAGAAGCACCGGCUAACUCCGUGCCAGCAGCCGCCGUAAAAC